rnacentral:rRNA from 1 species
GACGGAGGGCAACGUUUGUUCGGAAUUACUGGGCGUAAAGCGCGUGGUAGGCGGCUAAGUAAGUCGGGCGCGGAAAUCCCACGGCUCAACCGUGGAAGUUGCACUCGAAACUGCAUAGCUAGAGUCCUGGAGAGGAAGGUGGAAUGCUUGGUGUAGAGGUGAAAUUCGUAGAUAUCAAGCGGAACACCGGUGGCGAAGGCGGCCUUCUGGACAGUGACUGACGCUGAGACGCGAAAAGCGUGGGGGAGCAAACA